rnacentral:rRNA from 1 species
UACCAGCACCCCGAGUGGUCGGGACGUUUUAUUGGGCCUAAAGCAUCCGUAGCCGGUUCUGCAAGUCUUCCGUUAAAUCCACCUGCUUAACAGAUGGGCUGCGGAAGAUACUAUAGAGCUAGGAGGCGGGAGAGGCAAGCGGUACUCGAUGGGUAGGGGUAAAAUCCAUUGAUCUACUGAAGACCACCAGUGGCGAAGGCGGUUUGCCAGAACGCGCU